AGAAACUAGAUCAGUGGUUCUUAGCAUUUCUAUGUUCAUUGAAUGCUUUUGGGCGGUGGCAUUAGCAGAGGGAUCAAAAGGCAAACAUCCCUUUUUAGAUACAAGUAUUUAGAAAAUCUAAAAACAGCCUCCCAGACAUUCACUGGGUCAACCUUCAAUAAUUUAUCACUGUUGACAUGAGACUAUUAACUUCCCAGAUGCACGAAGCCACGUUUUCACAUGAUGGAGGUCUUCCAUCCUAGCAUUACACCCCAUGUCCUUUCUCUAAUUAAUGAGCUGUAUCCUGUUCUUCUCCAGUCUGUCCAUUACAGCUUUCUACCCACCAGAUAUUUCUCUACCAACGUGCAGCUGCACUGAAGGUAAAAUGCAAAUUUUGCUCAUUGAUUACAAGUAGCAGCUGACCUACAAAGAGCUUGAGGGACCCCAAUGCCUGAGAGCCACUCCCUUAGAAAAGCAUAAAUUAGGGAUACUGCAGAUAUAAUUCCUACACAGGUGAGAUCAGAUGGACCCAAAAUACACAUUCUAAGAGAAGUCUAAGUUUCUAAGCUACUCAAACUACAGAAUUAAUACCUCUGCUGUUAUCUAUUUAGUUAUUAGCAUUUAAAAAAUUUUUUUAAUGUUUAUUUAUUUUUGAGAGCAAAGAGACAGAGUGUGAGCGGGGGAGGGGCAGAGAGAGAGAGGGAAACCCAGAAUCCCAAGCAGGCUCCAGGCUCUGAGCUGUCAUGUCAGCACAGAUCCUGACGUGGGGCUCGAACCCAUGAACAGUGAGAUCAUGACCUGAGCCAAAGUCAGAUGCUUAACUGACUGAGCCAACCAGGCGCCCCUAGUUAUUAGUAUUUUUGACAUAACUUGUCAUGUGGCACUUUGCUAAGAGCAUGAAAAUUUUAAGGGUAUUAAAAAGGAGAAGUUGGAAAUAGCCAAAGGCAAAUGUCACAUUUUCUUCUGGGCCUUUUGUCUUUUCAAGGCUACAUGGAAAAGUGAACAUAUAUAUGUGGAAUUUAAGAAACAAAACAGAUCCACACAGGGGAAAGAAUGGAAAAAUAAGAUAACAACACAGAGGGAGGCAAACCAUUACAGACUCUUAAGUACAGAGAACAAACUGAGGGUUGCUGGAGGGGAGGUAGGUGGGGGGAUGGGCUAAAUGGGUGAUGGGCAUGAAGGAGGGCACUUGUUGGGAUGAGCACUGGGUGUCACACGUAAGUGAUGAAUCAGUAAAUUCUACUCCUGAAACCAUUACUCCACUCUAUCUUAACUAGCUUGGAUUUAUAUCAAAUUUUAAGAAAAAAAGAAAAAAUAGUGAGCACAGUCUGCCCCAGCUCUGGAAAGAAGAAUGCUCCUGUUGUCGGUCUUCUUUCUGAACCUUUUUAAGCACGCACAACUGUCACCAUCUUUUCUCUGGCCUCCUCUUUGCCAUGACCCUAAGCCAUCAUCCUCAUUCACACUUACUUUAAGUUGAAGCAGAAAAACGGGAAAUUAUGAAAAAUGGCAUGUGCUGGUAAAAACCUCUACAACUAUAGCAAUUAUGAUUUCAUACCCUGACUGUGGCUAAUCAGGUUUGCUCCCUCCCUUUGGCAGAAGAAUUUCUCUUUGCUCUCUGUCUCAUGGAGCCCUUGGGUAUGGGGAUAAACCUUCGAUUAUCUGGUCAGGUGACAGAACCUUCCAUGCUUCAGGCAGACCCAACCUUGGCAAGAAUAUCUGAUCUCCUAGUGAAAAUCUAGGAAAGACCACCAGUGUUCGAGAUGUGGGGACGUGUAGAGCUGUGGGGAGCUUUCAGAUAAGGGAGCCUGGACUCCAGGAGAACAGAGCAGGUCAGAUCAUGCAAAGGUUAGUGGUGGACUCUGGACAAAUCACUGGUGGUCUUGGGCUAUUUCCACUACAAAUAGGAUGUGAGACUCCUGGAGUCCCCCACUUUACUGAAGAGGUUUUAAACACUUUUGUGAUUUGUAAUGUGUUUAGAAAUGGAACAAAAAUAUUUUUAUUCUAUGUGUGAAGAGGUCAUUAAAUGAUAAAAUACUGAAUGGUAAAAUACAGCUGUAUGAGAAAUUCCCUUCUUGGUAUAUAUACUUACCCCCCAUCCCAGUUUUUUUUUUUUUCCAACGUUUAUUUAUUUUUGGGACAGAGAGAGACAGAGCAUGAAUGGGGGAGGAGCAGAGAGAGAGGGAGACACAGAAUCGGAAACAGGCUCCAGGCUCUGAGCCAUCAGCCCAGAGCCCGACGCGGGGCUCGAACUCACUGACCGUGCGAUCGUGACCUGGCUGAAGUUGGACGCUCAACCGACUGCGCCACCCAGGCGCCCCCCAUCCCAGUUUUAUUGAGAUAUAAUUGACAUAGAACAUUGUGUAGUUUAAAAUGUACCAUGUGUUCACUGGAUACAUGUGUAUUUUGCAAAAUGACUGCCACCAUAGUGUUAGCUAAGGACACCAACCCAUCACAUAAUUACCAUUUCCAUUGUGUGGAGUGAAUAUUUGAGAUCUAUUCUCCCAGCAGCUUUCAAGUAUGCCAUACUGUAUUAUUAAUUAUAAUCAUUACACAACACAAUAGAUACUCAGAAGCUUCUAACUAGAAAUUUGCACACUUUAACCAACACCUCUCCAUUUCCUCCACUCCCCAUCCUGUUAGUAACCCCCACUCAACUUUUUUCUAUGAGUUCAGCUCUUAUGUACAUUAUUCUUGGUAAAAUAUGUCAGAUAGAGAAAGGCAAAUACUACAUGAUAUCACUUAAAUGUGGAAUCUAAAGGAGCUGGUGUAUAUAUGUACUUUGGCUUAUCUCCUUAUCAGCAUUUUCACGUAAUGCAUGAAAACAAUACAGAGGGAAUCAAAGCCCUCAGGUUCUCUCUUUUUCGGUUGUCUUUUCUCUGUGCUACAGUAUGAAUUGUAUCCCCAACAAAAUUCAUAUGUCGAAGCCCUAACCUCAAUGUAAUAGGAUUUGGAGAUAUGGUGCCUUUGGGAGUAAAUAGGUUUCAAUGAGGUCAUAAGGGUGGGGUCAUGAGAUUAGUGCCUUUAAAAGAAAACAUCAGAGUGCUUGUGGUCUCUCUCAGUACCAAGUGAGAACACAGUGGGAAGGUGGCUCUCUGUAAACCAGGCAGAGUUCUCACCAGAGCCCAACAAUGCUGGCACCCUGAUCUCAAACCAUCAGCCUCCAGAACUGUGAGAAAAUAAAUCUCUGUCAUUUAAGCCACCAAGUUAAUGGUGUGGUUCUGUGUUAUGGCAGCCUAGGCUGACCAAGACACCCUGUUUCUCUUUCUACCUUCUGUCUACACUAUUCUCUCCUGGGAGGGCAGAGACAGAGGAUAUAGACUUAGUAACAGUGAUGGCCUAUGUAAUGGCAUCCUGUUGCAUUUUUACCCCUUUAUCACUGAAAUUAGAUGAACACAUUAUUCCACCUAUAUUGCAUUAUUAAAAAACAAAACAAAACAAAACAAGACAGGCACUUUUGACCAGUUUACCUUUUGUAAUGGCACUAAACUCCUUUCUUUAUUAUGCAAAUUGGUGGAAAACAACUCUUCUGGAAAACAGAGGAACAACUAGAGCAAGAAAUGAUUGAAGAAGAGGUCAAAGAGAAAGGGGACAGGCACAUCUAUCAGGGAGGGAGGCUCCUGAUUACCUUCUCCAUCCCUGAGCCUCACCAAUGCCCAGCCUUCCCUAUACUGCCCACUGUUCCUUUCCUUCCUGUCUUCUCACUGUCUAUUACUUCCACUUCCUGUCUUUUCUUUCCUCUUCUGUAGGAACUCACCUCAACCCCUAAGAACGUAUUCUCCCAGCCCAGAUUUCCAUGCAUCCACCUUCAAUGGUAACAGAGAAAUGAUCUGUAUGCUAAUGGUUGAAAGCCUCAACAGCCCUCACUCCCAAAUAACAACUGUACAUGUUAAACAGGACCAUCUACGAGGAACCCAUCUAUGUGGGUUUUAGAAAGUGUUCCUCCAAAAGAAACUCUAGCCCAACACUAAUCAACAGAAAUAUGAGAGCCACAAAUGCCUGCCACAUUUGAUACUGGUAUUUUAAAUUCUCUAGUAGUCACAUUUUUUAAAAAGUAAAAAUAAAUGAGUGAAUAUUGUUUUAAAAUAUAUUUUGUUAGGGCACCUGCAUAGCUCUGUCAGUUAAACAUGUGACUCUUGAUUUCAGGUGAGGUCAUGAUCCCAGGGUCAUGGGAUUGAGCUCCAUAUCAGGCUUCACAUACUUAAGAUUCAUUCUCAUUCUCUCUCUCUCUCUGUCUCUCUCUCUCUCUUUCCCCCGUCUCUCGGCUCCUCUCCCCCACUUGUGCUCUUUCUCUCUCUGAAAAAUAAGAUAAAAUUUAUUUAACACAAUAUAUCCCCAAAAUAUUAUUGCUUUAAUAUAUAACCAAUUUUUAAAAUAUAAUGGGAUAUUUCACAUUUCUUUCAAAUUAAGUCUUCAAAAUCAAGUGUGCAUUUUAUUUUUUGUCAUGUUUAUUUUGUUUUUGAGAGAGAGACAGAGUGUGAGAGGGGAUGGCAGAGAGAGAGAGGGAGAAAUGGAAUCUGAAUCAGGAUCCAGGCUCCAAGCUGUCAGCACAGAACCCAAUGUGGGGCUUGACCUAUGAGUCGUGAGGUCAUGACCUGAGCCAAAGUCAGAUGCUUAACUGACUGAGCCACCCAGGAUCCCUUCAAAUGUGUAUUUUAUACUUCCAGUACAUCUCAUUUCAUAUAGCCACAUUUAAUUGCUUAAUGCCACAUGUGGCUAGUGACUACUGUAUCGGACAGCAUAGCUCUGGUCAGAUGAAACGAAAGGUGAGGCCCUGGUGUAAGGGCAGAUAAUGAAGGCCUCCUGCCAAAUGGACUAACUCUCCUGGGCCUAAAAGCACAAGCCUAUUGCAGAGGCAACAAACUAAAUGCUCCUUUGAGACAUGGAGAUGUUUUUCAUUGCUUUUAGAGAAACGUACAUCAACUACCAUCUCUGUCAAUAUUAUGGUAAAAGUUCAAAUAUUCAGAACAAAAACAUCUCCAUGGAAUCUUGAAAUGUAGUAUAUUGCUAAUAACAAUUUCUAAGAGCAGAAAACAUCUCAUCUUUCCUCUUAUCACUUUUGUGAGGCCAAAACUAUCCUGCCCACUGUGUAAUUCCAUGCUCAAGCUUUUGUCUCAUGAUCAUUUGGGAAAAUUACAAAAAAAACCCCUGCAAAUUAGUUUUAUUUGCUGAGAAGGGGGUGAUUCCCCACCUACAUGGAAAAUCACAGCACAGGUGCCCUAUCUUUAGCAGGUGUAUAGGUAUACAAUAGUAGCAGGCAUUUGUAUCCUGGACUGGCAGUUAUGUUGCCUUCAGGUGCAGCUGUGGGGUUGGUUUACACUGAGGACUGAGUAAAUGCUGAACCUUUAAUUAUACUGAUUAACUGUCAAUACCAUUAAUUCAUACACCAUUAGUUCGAGUAUUCCUACAGUGAUACCCAAGUCGUUGACAUCCCUUUUAUAGUUCAUGUCUUCCCUCUAUAUAACUCAGAGAAAUUAUUUUAUGGUGGAAAUCUCACUCUCUGGGUGAGAGUGGUAAGGAGGGUGGUCUUGCUUAAGUCUAAUAGGAUUUACCUGCUUCUUUGAGCAGGUAAAUUUUGUGAUGGUCUACCAGAAUUUUUUUUAAGGAUUCCCUGCUAUCAGCCACUAAUAUUUUAUCUCUUUGUUGAAGCCUCUCUUUCUCCUUAUUCAGGCUUUUAUCCUUAUCUGAAGGGUCAGAAAUUAUAAAGCAUAAACUUUUAUAUACAGGGGAUAUUUGAGAUUUUAUGAAAGAAAUGCUAUAAACCCUUCAGACCUAAAGACAAAGAGAAAGAAAGAAAAAGAGAGAGAGAGAGAGAGAGAGAGAGAGAGAGAGAGAGAAUGAAUCUCUAUGGAAGAUAUUAGGCUAAAAAUUUUCCUAGAUGCCCUCAAAUUAUACCUCUGCCAACUUUAAAGCUGACUUGGGUUAAGUAACAUGUCUUUUUUCAUCACUUCCCCCAGAAGGGGCAAUGACAACUUUUUUUUUCCUAUUUGAGUUAAAAUUCAAUUUAAAGUCCAUUUCUACUUGAUUGUCACUCUUGUGAGAUUCUUAGGCAAAAGGAUACCAUGAAACUUGGGAUGCUGUUGUUUACAGAUUUGAUUUUCAAGGACGCUUCAUUCCCAUGGUUAAUUAAAAGUUAAAUGUGUACAAAAAAGAGUUGGCAAAGACUGAUUCUCCUCCCUCUCUAGAGGUUUCCAAGUUCUUUUUUCAUGAGCACCCAUAAUCUUUUCCCUCACCGGACCCGGAUUCCAUUCUCGGUCUAUCUGACCAGAUGAUGCAACAUCUGUGUUCCCUUUUAAGAACGUGAGAAAUAAAGCUUUUCCAUCUUCCCUGUCUUUGAGUUCUGGGAAAUCCAAUUAAAACUGCUCAGAUUUUGUUUUUCUUGUUUGCUUUAGAAGACAACCCUCGGGAAGAGUCCUGUGGCGGUCUCCCGCCUGUGGAAGAAGGUGAUCAAAAAAUUAACCUGAUUAUGGAGUUGUCGAUGCAGGUUUCCCUUCAGACUGAAAAGAUCACCCAGCUGGAAGAAGUUUUAGAGGAGAAGGAAAGGAAGAUUCAGCAGCUGGAAGCUGAGCGGGGAUCCCAUCCUCUCCAAGAAGUUGAGGAGUCUCCAGAAUGUUUACAAGAAGCCCCAAUUUUCUUUAACAAUAAUGUCACCCCUGUGGUCUCUCAUGAGGAUAUGUAAGGAUUCCCAAUAAGAAAAUAAUAAAUGUUUAUUAAGGGUCA
rnacentral:lncRNA from 1 species